UACGAUAUGGUGUAGGGGCCAACAUGAUGCCCUAUUAUCUCUUUGAGAGGUUAGGCAUAGCCCCGAGUUCGAUUCUCGGUUUCGGGA